rnacentral:rRNA from 1 species
CAGCCGCCGCGGUAAUACGUAGGUGGCAAGCGUUAUCCGGAAUUAUUGGGCGUAAAGCGCGCGUAGGCGGCUUUUUAAGUCUGAUGUGAAAGCCCACGGCUCAACCGUGGAGGGUCAUUGGAAACUGGAAAACUUGAGUGCAGAAGAGGAAAGUGGAAUUCUAUGUGUAGCGGUGAAAUGCGUAGAGAUGUGGAGGAACACCAGUGGCGAAGGCGACUCUCUGGUCUGUAACUGACGCUGAGAAGCGAAAGCGUGGGGAGCGAACAGGAUUAGAUACCCGCGUAGUCCCUGUCUCUUAUAC